CCUACGGGUGGCUGCAGUGAGGAAUAUUGGUCAAUGGACGCAAGUCUGAACCAGCCAUGCCGCGUGCAGGAUGACGGCUCUAUGAGUUGUAAACUUCUUUUGUACGAGGGUAAACGCAGAUACGUGUACCUUUCUGAAAGUAUCGUACGAAUAAGGAUCGGCUAACUCCGUGCCAGCAGCCGCGGUAAUACGGAGGAUUCAAGCGUUAUCCGGAUUUAUUGGGUUUAAAGGGAGCGUAGACGGUCGGUUAAGUUAGAGGUGAAAGCCCGAGGCUCAACUUCGAAAUUGCCACUGAUACUGGUCGGCUAGAGAGUAGUUGCGGUAGGCGGAAUGUGUGGUGUAGCGGUGAAAUGCUUAGAGAUCAUGCAGAACACCGAUUGCGAAGGCAGCCUACCAAGCUGCUUCUGACGUUGAGGCACGAAAGUGUGGGGAGCAAACAGGAUUAGAUACCCCAGUAGUC
rnacentral:rRNA from 1 species